rnacentral:ribozyme from 1 species
AAAUGCGCGAAAGAUGGGGGAAAGGAAAAAAAAAAUAAAAAACACCAAACACGAUGCGACAACUCGAAGAAGCUGCACCACUUGAUUGACACUCCGACGUUUUUUUUUUUUUUUUUUUUU